GAUGAACGCUGGCGGCGUGCCUAAUACAUGCAAGUCGAGCGAAUGGAUUAAGAGCUUGCUCUUAUGAAGUUAGCGGCGGACGGGUGAGUAACACGUGGGUAACCUGCCCAUAAGACUGGGAUAACUCCGGGAAACCGGGGCUAAUACCGGAUAACAUUUUGAACCGCAUGGUUCGAAAUUGAAAGGCGGCUUCGGCUGUCACUUAUGGAUGGACCCGCGUCGCAUUAGCUAGGUGGUGAGGUAACGGCUCACCAAGGCAACGAUGCGUAGCCGACCUGAGAGUGUGAUCGGCCACACUGGGACUGAGACACGGCCCAGACUCCUACGGGAGGCAGCGGUAGGGAAUCUUCCGCAAUGGACGAAAGUCUGACGGAGCAACGCCGCGUGAGUGAUGAAGGCUUUCGGGUCGUAAAACUCUGUUGUUAGGGAAGAACAAGUGCUAGUUGAAUAAGCUGGCACCUUGACGGUACCUAACCAGAAAGCCACGGCUAACUACGUGCCAGCCGCCGCGGUAA
rnacentral:rRNA from 1 species